rnacentral:rRNA from 1 species
GUUGCAGUUAAAAAGCUCGUAGUUGAACCUUGGGUCUGGCUGGCCGGUCCGCCUCACCGCGAGUACUGGUCCGGCUGGACCUUUCCUUCUGGGGAACCUCAUGGCCUUCACUGGCUGUGGGGGGAACCAGGACUUUUACUGUGAAAAAAUUAGAGUGUUCAAAGCAGGCCUUUGCUCGAAUACAUUAGCAUGGAAUAAUAGAAUAGGACGUGUGGUUCUAUUUUGUUGGUUUCUAGGACCGCCGUAAUGAUUAAUAGGGAUAGUCGGGGGCGUCAGUAUUCAGCUGUCAGAGGUGAAAUUCUUGGAUUUGCUGAAGACUAACUACUGCGAAAGCAUUCGCCAAGGAUGUUUUCAUUAAUCAGGGAACGAAAGUUAGGGGAUCGAAGACGAUCAGAUACCGUCGUAGUCUUAACCAUAAACUAUGCCGACUAGGGAUCGGACGGUGUUCUUAUUAUGACCCGUUCGGCACCUUACGAGAAAUCAAAGUUUUUGGGUUCUGGGGGGAGUAUGGUCGCAAGGCUGAAACUUAAAGAAAUUGACGGAAGGGCACCACAAGGCGUGGAGCCUGCGGCUUAAUUUGACUCAACACGGGGAAACUCACCAGGUCCAGACAAAAUAAGGAUUGACAGAUUGAGAGCUCUUUCUUGAUCUUUUGGAUGGUGGUGCAUGGCCGUUCUUAGUUGGUGGAGUGAUUUGUCUGCUUAAUUGCGAUAACGAACGAGACCUCGGCCCUUAAAUAGCCCGGUCCGCAUUUGCGGGCCGCUGGCUUCUUAGGGGGACUAUCGGCUCAAGCCGAUGGAGUGCGCGGCAUACAGUCUGUGAUGCCCUUAGAUGUCUGGGCGCCCGCGCGCUACACUGAC